UCUGAAAACAAUGAGAAACUCGUUGAGGAAGUAUCAAGAGCAGUGGAACGACGAAGUUCAGUUGGUGUGAAUUAUGAUAUAUGUAAUGCAGGAAUGCUUACUAUUUUUAGAGAGGGGGAAACAUCAAAACAGCCGAUCAUUGAAGAGGUUAUAGAGAAUGAAACAAUUAUAUCUGAAAAAGAUGUUGCUAUUGAACGUGUAUCACCUGCAGAUGUGGAUAGCCCGAUGGAUGAGGGUUUGGAUGAUGUGCGUGAUGAUGUUUUGCGUGAUGAUGUUGAGCUUCCACUUCCUUUAAGUAGAGAAAGUCAGUUUNNN
rnacentral:lncRNA from 1 species